AAGGUCCGAUGAGUAGUCGCUGCUUUACUGUAAUGGUAGAGGAGAGGAAAGUCCGGGCUUCACAGGGCAAGGAUGCCAGCUAACAGCUGGUGGAGGUGACUCCAAGGAUAGUGCAACAGAGAGAUACCGCCUAUAGCAAUAUAGGUAAGGGUGGAAAGGCGGUGUAAGAGACCACCGUACCGCUGGUAACAGCGGUAGCCAUGUAAACCCCAUCCGAAGCAAGUUCUAAAAAGCGCGUACGUGGCCCGCCAGCGCUAGGUUGAACGCUUGAGACCAC
rnacentral:RNase_P_RNA from 1 species